UAAGCACUCUGGAGAAAAAUAAACCAUGGAAGGUGGAUAGAAAGUUUGGAGGGAGGGUUGCACUUCUAUAUCAGAUGGUCAGGAAUGGCUGCCCUCAGAAGGUGGUAGGAUCGUUCCAGCUGCUGCACUGAGAAGUGACUGAGGGGGCACAGAGACAAAGUAGAGAGACCAGUUAUGAGGCAAAGAUCCAGAUGGGUCUUUGCAGAGACCAGAUUUGACUUCUGCUUCAUGAGAAAAUUUGAAAAUAUUUCUUUUAACAGGCAGGUUCAAAAAAGUGGAAGAAGAUUGGCUUUCAUCACUUCUGCAAGGAGUUUAUUUUAAAAAUCAGCAGAGUAGUUACUCCUUGCUAACCACCAGGAAUUCUGGGAAAUUCUCUAAGCAACCAUUUGUUUAUAUUGAACAAGUCAAAUUCCCACGAAGUGAAUGGAAAUUGAUUCUCCUUUCGACAUCUGUAUUUCUACCAGUAGCACCAGUCUUCUAGUCAUUCCAUUAUACAAUUUUUGGACUCAUUAUUGACUUUCUCUCCUCAAGACUUGUGCUUUGUGUGUUUAUAUCUCUUGAUAGUGUAUUUUAUACAGAGUGACUUUUAAAUGUUGACUGAUAAUGAUAUACUAAUAUGUUUAAAAUAACUCAUAAUUAGUUUUCUCGAUAUUGAGAGAAAUAUUAUAAAAUCUAAAAAGAAGUUUGAGACCAACAAUUUGUUUUGACACAGUAUGUUUUACUUGGACUGGCGUAUUUCUUGUUUGCCUUACCUAGUUUUUCCAUGUUAGGUCUCCAAACUUCUCUUCAGAGUUUGUCACAGGACCAUGUCUCUCUUCCUCUACACUCUCCAUUUUGUCAUCAUUCUUAUAAAAUUUGCCCAUCCUUCUAAAUUACUUAGUUCAGUUAAUGUUGUUGCCAUGCAUUUAAUUAUUCGUAAUAGAAAACAUAGAGUCAUUUUCAAAACACUUUUUCUGUCACCUGUAAUAUAUCAACUUGGUCACCAAGUAGAAUUGAUUUGAUCUCCAAUACAGCUCUAGAAUCUCUCUCUUCCAAUCUCUCUACUGCCUCUGCCUUAGUAAUUCAGGACCUCAUCACCUCUUAUUUAAACACAAGAAAAAGCAAAAAAAUGUGCUGAGUACCAAACAUGGGUUAGCAAUACUCUU
rnacentral:lncRNA from 1 species